UGGGAUGUUGGAAGUCUAGCAAGAGGCUUAAUGGAGGGAGUAGAGGAUGGACAGUCUGCUCACUGGAGUCUGUCAUCUUGGCUGUAUUUCACUAACUGAGUGUGUGCAUGAGAGAGAGGGAGAGAAACAGAGAGACACAUCCUCUUCAAGGUGUGGCCACACCGAAAUCCCUUUCUUCCAGUCCUCCAGCUCAGUGGAUCAUGGACACCUGCAUACAAGGCCAGCAAACAUGCUAACCAGACUAGGGGGUUCAAACCAUGGUCACCAUGUGGCUUCCAGCUAGCACUGUAGUCUGGCAUGGUACCACUUGUGCUACUACAGCUGGGCCUGAGUUACAGAUCCUCAAUUUCUUCUUCAUUAUGACAACAAUUUUAAAUAACUUUCUAAACAAAGACUAGAAAUGUGAUGUAUUCUUUCCUUUAGAAUGUUUUUUCAAGAUUUGUUUUAAUUAAUUAAUUAAUUUUUGUAGUUUGGCUGGAGGGCAAAUACACACACUGGAGAGAAGCAGAAAGGGAGAAAGAGAUGGAGAGAAAGAGAAAAGUGAAAAAGUACCACCUCCCCAUGGGCAAUGGUCAUGCCACAAUCCCUUCUCUUCCAUCUCUUCUCCUUCCAUUUGCUUUCUGUGUGAACAUGCCUGUUAUGGGUAAAACUCAGGAAUCCACCGCUGUUAAUGGAGAGUAUUUUGUUUUUAAUUCAGAUAGCAGAGUUUUCCCAAGUUUCUCUGUUCCCCUAACAACAUCAUUCCUUUGUGUGUGCUAACCUGUAGUUUGAACAAAAUAUUCUUAUAGUCAACAAUGUAAAUUUAAAUAAUUAAAGUCUGUUUUGCCAAUGAAAAGAGAGAGCUCUUCUUCGUAGCUAGAUUCACUAGCCAAGCAACUUCACUUAUGGUUUGUCAUUCAGAAAUUAUUUUUGUCAACACAGAAAUUAUGAUUCUAUGUAACACGAUCAGAUUCUGAUCAAACAUAUUGUUCUAAUCCACUAGGAAAAAAGUAUAAGCUAUCGGUAAUAAAAUACUCUAUAUUAUUGGGUCUGCUCCUGAAAUGAAAGGGUUCGUUUUGGUCUAAGGUUGAUGUGAACUGAGUCCUCUGUCAUUAUUCACUCAGAUGAUAAGAAUAAUUUUCCCCAGGCUAGCUGCUGGCUCCAUGUAUUUUG